CCCACUCUCCAGCUUCUCUAUUACUAGUACCUGCAGGUGCCUCAGGGAAGCUGAGGCUCAGAUCUAACCUGCCCUCUGCCAUCCACCGGAGUAGUCUCCCAGGUCCGCCUGGGCUUCUCUCCACCAGGCAGGAACCUGAACCAUGCUGAGUUCCCUUGCUGUCCUGUGUGUCCUCCUGUUUCCCGGUGGUGCAGCGGGGCUCAAGCUGGAGCAGACUCCUGUGGUCGUGGGGCGCUUGGGCACCUUGGCCACCCUGCCGUGCACAGUGGAUACCUCGGUGAGCUACAUCCACUGGUACUUCCACAAGGAGGAUACAGCCCCCAAGAGGCUCCUCUACCUAGACAUGUCCAGGUCGUAUGUGCAGAGGGAUAUAUUCGUGAAAGCAGACAAAGUCAACGCCAAGAAAGGCAGGAACAGUUACAGCUGUAACCUGUUGUUGCAGAAACUGGAGAAGAAUGAUGAGGGCGUGUACUACUGUGCUGCCUGGGAAGCGCACAGCCACUCCUGCUGCCCUGGCCCCUGUGCAAAAAGAGCUGUGACAGACUGGUGAUGGAAGAAUCUGACCACCUGCGUGAAGAAUGUGGGAAUGAAAUAUGGUGCAAAUCAUUUCAAGAGUGAAAGACUCUGGAGAUUUACCACAAAAUGUUUGAAGGCUCAGACUGGGAGUCACCUCCUGAUUCCAGUUUCUAUGUUGCUGCCCUGCCCCCUACUAGUUACUUGCAGUGGAGAGUCAGGGAGCAGAGGCUCAGGAAGCUGAGGGCUAACUUCUCAGCACCUUCGUGCACUGGCAUGUCUGGGGCUCAACUCCUGUGAGGGGACAUGAUCCUCAGGGAGGUUGAUGCAUCAGCCCUGGGUGAGACCUGGGGACCUCCACCUUCUGCUUCUGCUUGAAUGCUACUCCAUAUGAUUUGGUCUAUAUUCCCUGGACCUCUGUUCUCUGCUCUGUAAAAUGAGGUGGUUUAACUGCCACAGUUGUGUGACUGAUUUCUGUAUCAAACCAAAAUUGUAUCAAUAAGAUAUCACUAUACUUACUAACUUCUUAUAAAAUUAGUCAACUUCUUGAGAAAGAAAAAAGAAUGAAGGAAAAAGAAAAGAAGAGCCAUAUUACUGAUUCUCUAGGAAUACCUCUGUGGCAGUAUGUGGGGAAAAGAAAAAGCUCUGUGAGAAAGUCUAAUUGAAUUAAAUGCAUUUUCAUUUGAAAA